UUCUAUUUUACCAGCAAAUCUUGUGUUAAUGACUGGUUUGAUCUGAAGCUCUGGGCCUAGCAUAUCAGCUGGCAGCAUACCUAUUGAGAGAUUAAAGUAACUUGUGACUUUGAGGCAGUUGUUNNNNNNNGUUGUUGGACAUGGUGCAAUUUCCCAGGUAACAGCAUUAAUGGGCCAUUUUCCUACACUGUGCCACUAACAGCUCUUAAAAUAUAUCUCAAC
rnacentral:lncRNA from 1 species